rnacentral:rRNA from 1 species
CAAUAGCGUAUAUUUAAGUUGCUGCAGUUAAAAAGCUCGUAGUUGGAUUUCGGGUGGGAAUGGCCGGUCCGCCGUUUCGGUGUGCACUUGCUACGCCCACCUUGCUGCCGGGGACGUGCUCUUGAGUUCACGCUCGGGACACGGAGUCGGCGAGGUUACUUUGAGUAAAUUAGAGUGUUCAAAGCAGGCCUACGCUCUGAAUACAUUAGCAUGGAAUAACACGAUAGGACUCUGGCCUAUCUUGUUGGUCUGUAGGACCGGAGUAAUGAUUAAGAGGGACAGUCGGGGGCAUUCGUAUUUCAUUGUCAGAGGUGAAAUUCUUGGAUUUAUGAAAGACGAACUACUGCGAAAGCAUUUGCCACGGAUGUUUUCAUUAA